GUAGUAAAAUUCAGAGUAAGAUUUCGUCCUUUGUAAAGAAGAAGUCUGAAUUGAAAAGUUGAGUUGUUUUAGUUCACAGUUGAGAUGUUGGUGUUUGUGGACGGUUAUGUCGUGUAAAUAAGUGAAGAGAAGAACGUAAUGUAUAAUUGAAGAUUCUGAAAAGAGGUUCCUUGGUAUGGCAUAAGGAAAAUGUCAGCAAAAAGGUCCUCUAUCGAAUCAGCGUCGUAGCUCGUUGGUGGAAUCGGACAAUUUGAGGCAACAAUUGAUUGGAAUGGCUACAGAAAUGUGGCUGGGCUGUCUGUCGACUUUGUCAUGAUCAUUAAUUGAUAUGAUAAAUCAGAGCACAGGGCGAGUUUUUCAUCCGUGAUUUGAGUUAAUGGAAAUGGCAAAGUACAAUAUGAUCAACUGCCCCCGAUGCUUUGGAGAUCGUCAUUGAUGAAAAUAGGUACGAUUCUGUGAAUGAAAUGCAGCCAUCAACUUCACCUUUGUCACAUGACCUAUCACUUUCACACUAAUCCAGGGUGAAAUUUGAUUUUUUCGGGUAUGAAUUCACUUUUAUCACGAAAAGAAGUGGCUUAUGUAGGUCAUAGAAUUUUUGAAAAAGGAAUGUUCCGUUUUUCAAACAGACCUGGAUUGAGUAAAAAAGCAAAAUAAACUAGAUGUUUUAAAUGAUUUAGAUUAUAGUUUAAAAUAUUAUUUUAAAUAGAUACCUAUUACUUAAUUUAGUGGAUGAUUUAUUAAUUUAUUAGCUACCGAUUAUAAUCAAGUUAUUAAAAAUGAUCAUAAGCUCUCAAUUAAAUUGAAGUUAAAUUUCAUGGUGAAAUUAUUCCAUCAUCGAUAAUAAGGCAUUCGUUAUCUGCUCAUAUAAGUUAUGAGAAAAGAACGUCGCGGUUGGUUCACAAUCACGCAAAUUGUCGGGUGCUGAAUUUUAUGUUGAGUUGUGCAAACGUUUAGGCAUAAAAAUUCAAAUUCAAACCAUCCAUCAAAAAACCAAAUCAGCAUUUCAUCAGAUUGGGGCAGAAAGCUACAAUUUAAUUUAUAGGUAUCCCAUUUUCGACUUUAUGAAUUCAUUAACGAUAUGUUAUAGUUUCAAAUUGUUCCGGAGGCUUGAGCGGAUUUUCUACUUUUCAAAAAUGACAUAAAAACACCCCAAAAUUUUCAAAAUCAGUAGUAGGUAUCUACAGAUUCAAAUUCAUACAUACCAGUUUUUCUCUAUAAACCAUAACCAUUAUUGAAAAACAAUAGAAUUUUGAAUAUUUUUUUCGGCGUUGAAAGAUCUACGUAUAAUAGCUCAAAAUCAUCAUGAUUGAUUUCAGAGGUCAAAAAAUGGGUCCAAAACAAAUUUUAACCAUUCAUCAAGGUGAUCAUGCACAAUUUAAUCUAACUUUAAUUUUUCAAAGGGGAAAUGAUUCAAAACAAAAUUAAUUGUAUCAAAAAUUGAAAAAUAAAAUCCAUUCCUCAAGAUUUAGCCACAGUGGAGUAUUUUUGGAUGCGUUUUCAAAUUUAUCCGGCCCAAGCCAAAAAUUGUUACCCAAAAUUCAUGAAAAUCGCAUUUUCACCAACAAGUUCUCAUUCAAAACACGAAAAUAAAAAAUGACGUAACUUGGAAUUAAAUUCUACAUUUUCUAUCAAGAUUUAAACGAGUAGGUACAGCUGAACACCUCACAACGCUAUCGAGCCAUGUUACAGAAUCCAAGAAGCUUUCAUUAAAAAACUGCGUGAAACAAACCCAUCCGUCCCCAAGGCAAAAAAAAUUGCACGUUGCAAAUCACACAAUCAUUAAUUUACCUUGAACUUCCUUCUUUUAACUUAAACAUUAAUAAAUCAUACCGAACAACGCGCUUAAUCCGCCACUAAUUUCCUCGACACGUUUUAUUCGAAGUAAACUGAAAUAUUUCAAAUAAAGUAAAAAGUCGUUAAUUUUUUUCACGACAUUUACGACUUUCCUACUGGUUAAAUAGCAAACCGGAAUCGCUUUCUUGAUGUAAUUUUGAUAAUAAUCCAAUGAUAUGUUUUUUUCUUCAUUUCACGAGGUGUUUAAAAUUAAUUGCUCGGUUAUCUCUAUCAUUAAUUACUCGCUAGUGUUUUUCAAAUUAAGUACACAAGUAUUAGAAAUAUUUUUCUUGAAGAAUUUGCCCAGUGUACUUGCCACUUGGACGAUAUAUAAUUUAAUGAGCUCUAGAUGCGAUGUUCUGAGUUAUUGUAGACAUAUCAGUUUAUAAAGUACAUAUUCAUAGCCAGGUAUAGGUAACCGUACCUAUGCAAAAGAUGACCAUACGAAUUAUGAUAAAUUUUUAAAAAUAGAUAAACAAAAAUUAAAAUAUAUACCUA